GGCGGACGGGUGAGUAACGCGUGGGUAACCUGCCUUAUACAGGGGAUAACAGUUAGAAAUGACUGCUAAUACCGCAUAAGCGCACAGGAUUGCAUGAUCCGGUGUGAAAAACUCCGGUGGUAUAAGAUGGACCCGCGUCUGAUUAGCCAGUUGGCAGGGUAACGGCCUACCAAAGCGACGAUCAGUAGCCGACCUGAGAGGGUGACCCGGCCACAUUGGGACUGAGACACGGCCCAAACUCCUACGGGGAGGCAGCAUG
rnacentral:rRNA from 1 species